rnacentral:rRNA from 1 species
GCUCAGAGUGAACGCUGGCGGUAGGCCUAACACAUGCAAGUCGAACGGCAGCACAGGAGAGCUUGCUCUCUGGGUGGCGAGUGGCGGACGGGUGAGGAAUACAUCGGAAUCUACUUUUUCGUGGGGGAUAACGUAGGGAAACUUACGCUAAUACCGCAUACGACCUACGGGUGAAAGCAGGGGAUCUUCGGACCUUGCGCGAUUGAAUGAGCCGAUGUCGGAUUAGCUAGUUGGCGGGGUAAAGGCCCACCAAGGCGACGAUCCGUAGCUGGUCUGAGAGGAUGAUCAGCCACACUGGAACUGAGACACGGUCCAGACUCCUACGGGAGGCAGCAGUGGGGAAUAUUGGACAAUGGGCGCAAGCCUGAUCCAGCCAUACCGCGUGGGUGAAGAAGGCCUUCGGGUUGUAAAGCCCUUUUGUUGGGAAAGAAAUCCAGCUGGUUAAUACCCGGUUGGGAUGACGGUACCCAAAGAAUAAGCACCGGCUAACUUCGUGCCAGCAGCCGCGGUAAUACGAAGGGUGCAAGCGUUACUCGGAAUUACUGGGCGUAAAGCGUGCGUAGGUGGUCGUUUAAGUCCGUUGUGAAAGCCCUGGGCUCAACCUGGGAACUGCAGUGGAUACUGGGCGACUAGAAUGUGGUAGAGGGUAGCGGAAUUCCUGGUGUAGCAGUGAAAUGCGUAGAGAUCAGGAGGAACAUCCAUGGCGAAGGCAGCUACCUGGACCAACA